UCUCUCUCUCUCUCUCUCGGUCUGUCAGGUGACUAUGAGAAAGGCGUGGAUCAUCUGACGAAUGCGAUCGCCGUGUGCGGUCAGCCGCAGCAGCUCCUGCAGGUCCUGCAGCAAACGCUUCCUCCUCCAGUCUUCCAGAUGCUCCUCACCAAACUGCCCACCAUCAGCCAGCGCAUCGUCAGCGCUCAGAGUGUCGGCGACGACGACGACAUCGAGUAGACCUCCAGCAGCUCUGUGACAUCACUUCCUGUCUGCUUCGAAAUCAAUCAAUCAAUCGCUCUGUCCCGCCCCCUUUCCAUCCAGUUCUCAAACACUGAAUGCACAGAUACGGAUUUAAAGAAGAGUCAUAGUUUGGUUUUGAAUCUGAGCUUCUGAGUUUGUCCUGUUGACGUGUGUUAGAAUGACAGAAAACAAGCAUGACCUGCAGCAAUUAUUUGUUUUACUAACAAAGCAUUUUGGGUUCACUAAAUUAUGAAAUAUGCACGCGGGAAAUCAUCGACUAAUGACUCACCAGAGUACAUGCUGCUGUCGUUUAUCUGUGUUCAUGUAUUUAAGCUGUUUUUAAAGGCUGUGAGACGUCUAAUGGGGUAUUGCGGGAUAGGACGCACAUUUAAAGGUGCUCUGUUUCAAGUCGGGGAGAGUUUCCUCUUUAUUUUUUAACUCCAAAAUAAAAUCAUUGUAUGGA